rnacentral:rRNA from 1 species
AUUGAACGCUGGCGGCAGGCCUAACACAUGCAAGUCGAACGAGUGGCGGACGGGUGAGUAAUGUCUGGGAAACUGCCUGAUGGAGGGGGAUAACUACUGGAAACGGUAGCUAAUACCGCAUACCAUCAGAUGUGCCCAGAUGGGAUUAGCUGGUUGGUGGGGUAACGGCUCACCAAGGCGACGAUGCCUAGCUGGUCUGAGAGGAUGAUCAGUCACACUGGAACUGAGACACGGUCCAGACUCCUACGGGAGGCAGCAGUGGGGAAUAUUGGACAAUGGGCGAAAGCCUGAUCCAGCCAUGCCGCGUGUGUGAAGAAGGUCUUCGGAUUGUAAAGCACUUUAAUUUGGGAGGCGUUACCUAAAGAAUAAGCACCGGCUAACUUCGUGCCAGCAGCCGCGGUAAUAC